GAACUUCUCAAAGUGCCCUUGAACUAACAUUGGAAGGGCAGAGAGAAGAGGAACACAGCCCCUGUGCAAGGAGGACAUGCAAAUUCAUUAAGCAUUCCAUAGUUUU